rnacentral:rRNA from 1 species
CCCUUAGAUGUUCUGGGCCGCACGCGCGCUACACUGAUGCAUUCAACAAGCCUAGCCUUGACCGAGAGGUCCGGGUAAUCUUUGAAACUGCAUCGUGAUGGGGCUAGAUUAUUGCAAUUAUUAAUCUUCAACGAGGAAUGCCUAGUAAGCGUGAUUCAUCAAAUCGCGUUGAUUACGUCCCUGCCCUUUGUACACACCGCCCGUCGCUCCUACCGAUUGAAUGUGUUGGUGAGGAGCUAGGAUUGGCAGCAGUUGGUGGUUCGCCACCGGCUAUUGCUGAGAAGUCCUCCAAACCGCCCCAUUUAGAGGAAGGAGAAGUCGUAACA